rnacentral:rRNA from 1 species
AGAGUUUGAUCAUGGCUCAGAUUGAACGCUGGCGGCAUGCUUUACACAUGCAAGUCGAGCGGCAGCGCGGGGGCAACCCUGGCGGCGAGCGGCGAACGGGUGAGUAAUGCAUCGGAACGUGUCCCGGAGUGGGGGAUAACGCCGCGAAAGCGGCGCUAAUACCGCAUAUGCUCUGAGGAGGAAAGUGGGGGACCUGCAAGGGCCUCACGCUCUGGGAGCGGCCGAUGUCCGAUUAGCUUGUUGGUGAGGUAAUGGCUUACCAAGGCGACGAUCGGUAGCUGGUCUGAGAGGAUGAUCAGCCACACUGGGACUGAGACACGGCCCAGACUCCUACGGGAGGCAGCAGUGGGGAAUUUUGGACAAUGGGGGCAACCCUGAUCCAGCCAUGCCGCGUGCGGGAAGAAGGCCUUCGGGUUGUAAACCGCUUUUGGCCGGGAAGAAAAGGCUGAGGUUAAUACCUUCGGUUUUUGACGGUACCGGCAGAAUCAGCACCGGCUAACUACGUGCCAGCAGCCGCGGUAAUACGUAGGGUGCGAGCGUUAAUCGGAAUUACUGGGCGUAAAGCGUGCGUAGGCGGUUCGUUGUGUCUGUGGUGAAAGCCCCGGGCUUAACCUGGGAAUGGCCAUGGAAACUGGCGAGCUGGAGUGUGGCAGAGGAGGGUGGAAUUCCGCGUGUAGCAGUGAAAUGCGUAGAGAUGCGG